UUCCUCUAGAAAUGCAUGACCUACCCUGAGUUUUGGUGGGCCGUGCAUUUCUAGAACUCC
ensembl:miRNA